AUGCUCAAACCAGUUCAGUCAGUAGAGCAUGAGAUUCUAAAUCUCAGGGUCGUGAGUUUGAGCCUGACAUUGCACA